rnacentral:tRNA from 1 species
GGGUCGAUGGCGUAGCUGGUUAUCGCAUCUGCCUAACAUAUAAUAUCCUAGUUGAGCAUUUAUUUUCACAGAAGGUCCUCAGUUCGAACCCGGGUCGACUCA